UUACUUACCUGGCAGGAGAGAUACCAUGAUCACGAAGGUGGUUUUCCCAGGGUGAGGCUUAUCCAUUGCACUCCGGAUGUGCUGACUCUUGAGAUUUCCCCAAGUCAAGUGGGAAACUCGACUGCAUAAUUUGUGGUAGUGGCGUACUGAGUUUGCACUCUCCCCUG
rnacentral:snRNA from 1 species